rnacentral:lncRNA from 1 species
UGCAGAGUCGUGCCACGGAAGCGUGCUGGUCCUAUCCAUGUAGUGAAGGCUGAUUUCAUACAGAAAUGUCACAAGAACUUUUUUUUUCUUUUUUUUUUGAGACGGAGUCUCGCUCUGUCACCCAGGCUGGAGUGCAGUGGCGCGAUCUCAGCUCACUGCAAGCUCUGCCUCCCGGGUUUAUGCCGUUCUCCUGCCUCAGCCUCCUGAGUAGCUGGGACUACAGACCUGUGCAGCAGGUGCUGGGGGAUCCACUAGGCCCAGGCAGUCUUAGGACUUGUGUCUCUCCUGCUGUGCAUCCAUACUGGGUGCUUUAGAAACGGCAGGCAGACCAGAAGCCCCUGUUGCAAGUGAGGACAAAGUGUGGGAAGGCCGUGAGGGUCUGCAGUCCGAGAUGGCCUUGUCCUCAACCUGCAGUGCACUGUUGAUGCGCUGGAAUGCCGCCUCCUUCUCCCGGUCCAGGUCUUCAGCAGUGACCCAGUACCCCAGCUCUAAGGGAGGUGGCAGCAUCAAAGGCUCCCCUCGCCUGGGUGGCAGCAGGGGAAACUUGUGUCUACGGGGCCUAGAGGACUGGGAUCUGGGGGAGCCACCCCUGGGGGCGAGUGUCUGCCCUGGUGCUGUAUCUGCCGUCUUUUCACACUGGGUGUGACCCGAAGAGACAGCCUGAGGCCUGUCCUCACUCACUGUCUUUGAGGAACUGAGGGUCAGCUGGCAGUGGGAUGAGGCUGGCCCCCUCCUCCGCUUUAGCCCCGGCAAGCCUCCCGUGGAGCUGUAGGAGCUGGAGAUGGCAUUUCGGUUGGUGCAGGAGCUCGUCCAGGAGGUCUGGGAUGUCUGCUUAUAUCUGAUUUCUGACCUCUGGGCAUGGAGGUCUGUCUGCAGAGGCCUGGGCCUGGGCACAAAGGGAGAGAGGCCUCCAUUGUCCCGCAGGGGCUGAAAUGCAGACCGUGCAUCCCCGGUGACCUCGGGGACCCUUCUCUGAUCACCAGGAUUCUCUUGGACUCUAGGGUCCUUGUCCUGCUCAGGCAUCCCUGCCCCGCUCUCCUUGAGGGCCCUCAACACUAUCUUCCCUGGACACAAGUCUGGGGACAGCCGGGUGUUGUGGACCCCAAAGGGGUGACUCCCGGCUCUUGGGCCCCACAGAGAGUCCAUGUUCUCAGUGCAGUGGCUGAGCUGGAGGACGCCCUGGAACUCGAGCACACAGCACUGGUUUGCUGUAGUAUCUGUGCAAUCAAAUUGAAGGCAGGAUCCCAGGAAGGAACGCAGGGCUUGCAGGAUCACGGAAAACCUUCUUAGAGUGGUCUUGACACC